GACGAACCGUGCAAACGUUGUUCGGAAUCACUGGGCUUAAAGGGCGCGUAGGCGGCUCAGCAAGUCGGGGGUGAAAUCUUUCGGCUCAACCGGAAAAGUGCCUUCGAUACUGCUGAGCUCGAGGAAGGUAGGGGCAACGGGAACGACCAGUGGAGCGGUGAAAUGCGUUGAGAUUGGUAGGAACGCCGGUGGCGAAAGCGCGUUGCUGGACCUUCCCUGACGCUGAGGCGCGAAAGCUAGGGGAGCAAACGGG
rnacentral:rRNA from 1 species